rnacentral:rRNA from 1 species
UACGGAGGGUGCGAGCGUUGUCCGGAAUCACUGGGCGUAAAGGGCGCGUAGGCGGCCUGAUAAGUAGGGGGUGAAAUCCUGCGGCUUAACCGCAGGGCUGCCUUCUAAACUGUCGGGCUAGAGCACGGUAGAGGCAGAUGGAAUUCCCGGUGUAGCGGUGGAAUGCGUAGAGAUCGGGAAGAACAUCAGUGGCGAAGGCGGUCUGCUGGGCCGUUGCUGACGCUGAGGCGCGAAAGCUAGGGUAGCAAACAGG